AAAGACAAUUCCUUCCGAGAAUCCUUUUGUUGUGGGACAAGCUCCUUCCCAGCCUCUGCAGGGUUGCAGAAAAUGUUUUGGGAAGUUAUGAAGACAGGAUGCAACAAACACAGAAGAACACUGGUGGUGUUUUUGUCACGAGCGCGUUCAUUCCUUUGUGCUGCCACAUGAAUGGAGUGUUCGCUGAUAAAGAAAACGCCCUCGCAGCGCACUGCUUCUAUUUCUAGUCAUAAGUUAAAAAUUCUCUUCUCAGGAGGAUCCCUCUGUGCUGCGCAGGUGUGUGGGAAAUUCUGAGCAUUUUAAUGACAUUGCAUCUUAUUUUAGUUAGACAAGUCUGAGGGAAAAUUCCUAAAUUCAAAGAGAGAACUUCAAAAAUGACAUGAUUUCGAAGAGCUCUGAAUUCUAGAGAUGUCUUCCAAAUUGCUAAAUCAGGAGUACAGACUGCCAUCUUUCUCUGCUGCUGGGAUAUGUGGAGCUGAGCUGUCUACACCAAGGACACCAUCAGAUAAAACAGGCUGUCUCUGUGACCUUUCCCACACUUAUUAUAUAGAUGGCUAAGUGAAAGCAAAGAGCUUUAGAAGCAAUUGCAUCUCCAUGGUGACAAAACCACAAUGUCUCAUUUAUGCUCCAGGAU